AGACUGGGCGCCGACAGCAUCCUCCGGGGGUAGGCGCCCACAGUCAUUCUUUCCAUCGCUGCGGACACGGGAGUCAGAAGUGAAACAGUCCUGUCCUCGUGGGGCUUACGUUCCAGGCGCAAGAGCCACAGGUAGUCGAAUUGGGAAACCGCCUCGGAUGUCACAUAAGCGCCCAGGGAGGACAGGGCAGGACAGGGCCUCCCUGGGGAGGUGACUUGAGUCAAGACUCAAAAGAGGGAAGCGAGGGAACAAGCCAUGCGAGGAACUAACGAAGGAACAUUCCAGAAAGAUUUCACAUCCCAAGCCUAAGGUCCAGGGGCAGCAGGCAUUGAGGCGGAUGUGGCUGGAGUGGAGAGAAAGAGGAAUUAAAAGGAUGGAGUAAUGACAAUAAUGGCUCACAUUUUUUAGCAAGAGGUGGGUUCACUACCUAUCUGUCGUUAUCUGGGGGGAAAUUAGGCUCUGGGAGGUCAAAUAACUUGCCCAAGGUCACACAGCUUGUAAGUGGCCAGACCAGCAUUGGAACCCAAGGGGACGGAUGUCUGAAACACACCCAGGAGUCCCAAGGUGGGAUGACCUUGACCAAGACAGGCCCUUUACCCCUUGCCUCAGUUUCAUCCCAAAGAGCUGCCCAAACACAGCUUAAAAUCAGGGCACAGAGCAAGGGUGUAGCUGAGUGUGCGUAACAUCUGUUCUCCUGGGAGAUGCUUUUGUUGUCUGGGAAGCACUUGUCACCUCUCCAGGCUCUGGAGCAGGUACAAGUGGCUUCGGGGAGAAAGGGUGGGAGCCGGGAAGAGGCUGCUUCUGGUGGCAGGAGGAGAGAGGGAGUGGGUGAGGGGCCCCGGGCUGGCUGAGUGCUCUGGAGCAUGACAAAGGCAGUGUCAGCCAGGCAGCUGUGUCCGCCACUAGCAACCGCGCAGGCAGCAUCCCCCGCCAUCCCUCUGAGCCUGGAGAGAUUGAAACACACACAGUCAGCGUGCCUGCUGCCCAGGUGAGGUGCAGAAGGCCUGGGGGUUGCCAGUCUGGGCUCUGCCGCGAGAAAGUGGCUUUUCUGCAGCCGGAAGCGGGGAGGAAGUGUUUUCACCCUUCUACAAAGCUCUGUCUCUGCCUCUGGAUCCACGGUGCUGCAGGCCUGAGGGCUCUCAUGGGUACGGGCCUGGUGAGUAAUCUAGAAUUUGCCCCUUCCCCAGCCUGGUGCAGCCUCUAGUCUCGGCCUUCACGCUCUGCUGUAAAAUGAGGCUGGGUCAGGAGUGGGACCCAUCCUCCGUGUUUGAGGAGCUGGGCUAUUACAUGAGCCCCUACCUGAGGUCGCCAGCGAGUCAGAGGUCCUGGUGGGACCAGACCAAAAUGGAACCUACUAUCGGGCCCAUUUUGAGAGGGAGACAGAGAGAAGUUAAAAGUACAUGCACACACAGCUCUAAAGUAGCAGAGAUGGCAUUCAAGUCCAAAGCCUUUGACUCCAGGACGGGCACAGUGGCUCACACUUGUAAUUUCAGCACUUUGGGAGGCCGAGGUGGGAGGAUCUCCUAAGCCCAGGAGUUCAAGACCAGCAUGGGCAACAUGGUAAGACCCUAUCUCUAUUAGCGGGGCGUGAUGGCACAUGGCUGUAGUCCCAGCUACUCUGGAGGCUGAAGCAAGAGAAUCGCUUGAACUUGGAAGGCAGAUGUUGCAGUGAGCUGACAGAGCAAGAUUCCAUCUCAAAACGAACAAUCAAACACUAGUCUUGCCCGGCGAGGUGGCUCAGGCCUGUAAUGACCAGCCUGGCCAACAUGGUGAAACCCCUUCUCUACUAAAAAUACAAAAAUUUGCUGGGCAUGAUGGCAGGCGCCUGUAAUUCCAGCUACUUGGGAGGCUGAGGCAGGAGAAUCCCUUGAACCUGGUAGGUAGAAGUUGCAGUGAGCCGAGACCGUGCUAUUGCACUCCAGCCUGGGCAACAAGAGUGAAACUCCGUCCCCAAAAAGAAAAAAACACUAGCCUCAAGCCACAGCCAUGUCUCCAACCUUCCCGGCCAGGUUUCUCAAAAGAGGGGGCUACCUGAGGUCACCCACUCCUGCCGAACUCCAGGUGGGCUUCCUCAUCCCUUGCUCUAUCCUAAACUGUUCCUUAAGUGACAGUUCACACCCUGACGUCUUCCAAGCUGAGACCCCACCAGCAGCUAGCUUUUCCUUUGUGGUUCCACCCACCUCCUAAAUCCCUUUAGCAGCCGGGUGCGGUGGCUCGCGCCUGUAAUCCCAGCACUUUGGGAGGCCGAGGCGGGUGGAUCACGAGGUCAGGAGAUCGAGACCACGGUGAAACCCUGUCUCUACUAAAAAUACAAAAAAAUUAGCUGAACGUGGUGGCGGGCGCCUGUAGCCCCAGCUACUCGGGAGGCUGAGGCAGGAGAAUGGCAUGAACCCGGGAGGCAGAACUUGCAGUGAGCUGAGAUCGCACCACUGCACUCCAGCCUUGGCGACAGAGUGAGACUCCAGCUAAAAAAAAAAUCCCUCUAGGGUCCUGCGCCUCUGCCUGUAGCCCCUAAAACCGAAUACUCCUGAAAGUUUUAUCCUGGGAACCCCUUUCCUUGACACUUUAACUCCGUGGAAGAGGCAAAAGUGAGGGGAACCCCCAUCUCUACUUAAGAGUUCCCCACAUAUUUUUUAUUAUUAUUUUUUUCGUGACGGAAUUUCACUCUUUGUUUGCCCAGUCUGGAAUGCAAUGGCACAAUCUCAGCUCACUGCAACCUCUGCCUCCCGGGUUCAAGUGAUUCUUCCACCCUAGCCUCCCGAGAAGCUGGGAUCACAAGCGCCCACCACCACACCAAACUAAUUUUGUAUUUUUAGUUGAGACGAUUUCACCACGUUGCCCAGGCUGGUCUCGAACUCCUCAGAUGAUCGGCCCUCUGCCUCCCAAAGUGCUGGGAUUACAGGUGUGAGCUCCUGCGCCCGGCUCAGAGUUCCCCAUAUUUAUACUUGCCCUCCAGGGCACACUGGCCUCCAUUUUUAGGGACUUGCUUGGUAUCUGCCCUUGGGUAACCCACUGGAGCUUUCCAGUUGGACUCCUUGAUUGGAGGGGAAUCUGGCUACACCUGUCGCCCCAGGAUGGACCAGCAGGGCCCGUCUUGAGGCUGCACUCGAGGAUAGAGGAAAAAGUGUCAUCUUUAAGAGUCCCACCGAGUAGCCAGGUUUCCCUGCCGGAAAUUCCUGCCUUGUUUUCCUUUCCCUGGUAAAACUAGGAGAGCCACCUCAUUUUCCUGAGCCCUGAGCCCUGAGCGCCCGCCCCCACCCCCGUUGGUUCUAGCUACACAGGCUUUCGGCCUCAGGGUUGCUUUGCACCAUCCCCUUCCCCCGACCCAGGCAAGUUCGCUUCUGCUUCUCUCUUGCCCAGCCCUCAUUAGCAGGCUCUGACACUUCUCAGCCGCCUGUCCGCUUUGCAGAGAACUGACAUGUGAGCUGUGCCCAGGGACAUCUGCUGAAUGGGCGGGUCCCCUGCCGGACCAGUCCAUCUGUCCCUCACUCAGUGUUCCUUCUGAGCUGAAGCUGCCCAGCAUCCCCCAUCUGUGUGAGUAUUCACACAGCGCUGGCCAAAGCCCUGUCGGGAAUCACGUGAUUCAGAUCCUGGUUUUGCCCCUGUCAGCCUUAGGACAAGACAGAUUUCUUUUUCUUUGUUUCUCCUGAGAUAGGGUCUCACUCUGUCGCCCAGGCUGGAGUGCAGUGGUGUGAUCUCAGCUCAUUGCAGCCUCAGCCUUUGGGGUUAUAGCAAGCCUCCCACCUCAGCUUCCCAAGUAGCUAGGAUUAUAGGUGCACACCACCAUGCUCAGCUAUUUUUUUUUACAUUUAUAUUUAGUAAAGACAGGGUCUCACUGUGUUUCCCAGGCUGGUCUCAAACUCCUGGCCCCAAGUGAUCCUCCCGCCUUGGCCUCCCAAAGUGCUGGGAUUACAGGCAUGAGCCACCAUGCCCUGGCUACCCAACAGAUUUCUUUUCUUUUUUCCCCCCCAAGACGGAGUCUCACUCUGUCAUCCAGGCUGGAGUACAUUAGCGCAAUCUUGGGUCAUGGCAACCCCUGCCUCCUGGGUUAAAGCAGUUCUUCUGCCUCAACCUCCCGAGUAGGUGGGAUUACAGGCGCAUGCCACCACGCCCGGCUGGCUAAUUUUUUUGUAUUUUUAGUAGAGACGGGGGUUUCGCCAUGUUGGCCAGGCUGGUCUCAAACUCCUGACCUCGUGAUCCACCUGCCUCGGCCUCCCAAAGUGAUGGGAUUACAGGAAUAAGCCACCAUGCCCGUCCCACCCAACAGAUUUCUUGAGGUGAGUUUUGGUUUCCUGGCAUGGUAUUGGCUACAUGACCUCAUCUGUAAUGUCUUUGGCAAACAGAAUAACUUGUUUUGUAUUACUAUGUUUAAUCUUCAAAAUCACCCUAUUGAGUAGAUUGUCACAAUCAGGCCUGUUUUGUGGAUGAAGAGAGGGAGGCUUGGAGAAGCCGCGUGGUUCAUGCAAAAAUGCAAAGCUGCAAAGUAGUGGCGGUGGGGUUCAAGUCCUGACGCUUUCACCACUGAGCGCCUUGCCAUCCCCUGCUGCCAUCCUCUCUUGGUUCUGAUACUUCUUUUUUUUUUUUUUUUGAGAUGGAGUCUCACUCUGUCGCCCAGGCUGGAGUGCAAUGGUGUGAUCUCGGUUCACUGCAACCUCCACCUCCCACGUUCAAGCGAUUCUCCUGCCUCAGCCUCCGGAGUAGCUGGACUACAGGUGCCUGCCACCACGCCCGGCUAAUUUUUUUGUAUUUUUUUAGUAGAGACAGGGUUUCACCGUGUUAGCCAGGAUGGUCUCACUCUCCUGACCUCAUGAUCCACCUGCCUCGGCCUCCCAAACUGCUGGGAUUACAGGCAUGAGCCAUCACGCCUGGCCUUUAGGCCAGCUAAUUUUAAGGUGCUUCUCUGAGUAGUGUGAACUGGGGGUCAUGCGAAGGGGUCUCAGUGAAUCUGGGCAGAGUGUGGUGCUGCUGGGAGUCUGCAGCCCCUUUCAAACAGUCUGGUUCCUUGAAAGGUUAAACAUGGAGGCCGGGUACAGUGGCUCAGGCCUGUAAUCCCAGCACUUUAGGAAGCUGAGGCAGGCAGAUCACUUGAGGUCAGGAGUUGGAGACCAGCCUGGACAACAUGGCGAAACCCUGUCUUGAUGUAAAAAAAAAAAAAAAAAAAAUUAGCUGGGUGUGGUAGCAGGCACCUGUAGUCCCAGCUACUCAGGAGACUAAGGCAGGAGAAUCCUUUGAAUCUGGGAGGUGGAGGUUGCAGUGAGCUGAAAUCAGGCCACUGCACUCCAGCCAGGGUGACAGAGUGAGACUCCAUCUCAAAAAAAAAAAAAAAAUGUUAAACAUGGAGUGACCAUAUGACGCAGCAGUGCCCCUCCUAGGUAUAUAUCGUGUAUAUCUAAGAGGAAUGGGAACAUAUCUGCACAAAAAUUUGCAUGGGAAUGUUCAGAGCAGUGUUAUUCAUAAGAGCCAAAAAGUGAAAGCAACCAUGUGUCCCUCACCUGAUGAAUGGAUAAAUCAACUGUGGUCUCUCCAAACAGUGGAAUAUGAUUCAGCCAUAAAAAGGAACGAAGCAGCUGGGCGCAGUGGCUCACGCCUGUAGUCCCAGCACUUUGGGAGGCCGAGGCCAGUGGAUCACGAGGUCAGAAGAUCGAGACCAUCCUGGCUAACACGGUGAAACCCUGUCUCUAAAAAAAUUAGCCAGGCAUGUUGGCACAUGCCUGCAGACCCAGCUACUUGGGAGGCUAAGGCAGGAGAAUUGCUUGAACCUGGGAUGCGGAGGUUGCAAUGAGCCGAGAUCGUUCCACUGCACUCCAGCCUGGGAGAUAGAGUGAGACUCCGUCUCAAAACAAAACAAAACAAAACAAAAAAACGAAGCACCAAUACAUACUACAACAUGGAUGACCCUUGAAAGCAUUAUGCCCAGUGACAAGCCAGACACACAGGACGCAUGUUGUGUGUUUCUGUUCAUAUGAAAUUUCCAGAAUAGGCAAAUCCAUAGAGACUGGAAGUAGAUUAAGGGCCAGGGGCAGUGGCUUACGUCUACAGGCAUGAGCAGUUUGGAAAGCUGGGGCAGGAGGAUCACUUGAGACCAGGAGUUCAAGACCAGCAGUUCAAGACCAGCCUGGGCAACAGAGUGAGACCCCUAUCUCUAAAAAAAAAUAAAGUUAGCUGAGUGUGGUGGCGCCCACCUGUAGUCCCAGCUCCACGGGAGACUGAGAGGAGAGGACUGCUUGACCCUGAGAGGUAGAGGCUACAGUGAGCUAUGAUCAAACCACUGAACUCCAGCCUGGGCAACACAGUGAGACUCUGUCUCUAAAAAUAAAUAAAUAAAAAGAUAGGGUAGCUUAGGGGUUGCCUGGGGCCUGGGGUGGUGGUGAGCAUCGGGGAGUGACUGCUAAGUGGAGUUUCUUUUUGGGUUAAUGAAAAUAUUCCAAAAUUGGUCAGUUGCAGUGGCUCAUGCCUGUAAUCCAAGCACUUUUAGGAGGCCAAGGCACGUGGAUCACUUGAGGUUAGGGGUUCGAGACCAGCCUGGCCAACGUGAUGAAACUCCGUCUCUACUAAAAAUACAAAAAAAUCUAGCUGGGCCCGGUGGUGCUCACCUAUAGUCCCAGCUACUUGGGAGGCUGAGGCGGGAGAAUCGCUUGAACCCGGGAGACAGAGGUUGCAGUGAGCCGAGAUCAUGCCACUGCACUCCAGCCUGGGUGACAGAGUGAGACUCCGUCUUGAAAAAAAAAGAAAAAGAAAAUAUUCCAAAAUUGCAGUUAUAGAUGCACAGAUCUGUGGAUAUUUAAAAACAACUGAAUCAUCUACUGUGGUGUAAUUGUAAAGUGGUGAAUUAUAUGGAUUAUAUCUCAAUAAAGGUCUUUUUUUUUCUUUUUUUUUUUUUUUUUUUGAGACGGUAUCUUGCUCUGUCGCCCAGGCUGGAGUGCAGUGGCACAAUCUCGGCUCACUACAAGCUCCACCUCCCAGGUUGGUGGACAUUCUCCUGCCUCAGCCUCAGCCUCCCGAGUCGCUGGGACUACAGGUGCCUGCCACAAUGUCUGGCUAAUUUUUUGUAUUUUUAGUAGAGACGGGGUUUCACCGUGUUAGCCAGGAUGGUCUCGAUCUCCUGACCUCGUGAUGCGCCCACCUCGGCCUCCCAAAGUGCUGGGAUUACAGGUGUGAGCCACUGCACCCGGCCUCACCAAAGGUCUUAUUAAAAAAAUUAGCCAGAUUCCCUGCUUCAGUGAUAAAAAAAAAAAAAAAAAAGAGGGGCAGGAGAAGAGGACCCAAUAACUUCCUGAGUGACUGGGGAAAAUAUUUUUGGGUUAUAUUUCUGUAAUUCUCGUGAAGUGAUUACAGAAGUGACGGGAUAGAAGAGGUUUCUUUAAAAAAAAUUUUUUUUUUAAUUUAGUAGAGAUGGGAUCUUGCUAUAUUGCCCAGGCUGGUCUUGAACUCCUGGACUCAAGCAGUCCUCCUGCCUGGGCCUCCCGGAGCUCCCGGGUUACAGGUGUGCAAUCCCAUGACCAGCCGAUAGAGGACGUUUCUAUUCAUCCUUCAGACCUCAGCUUACAAGUUACCCCAAGAUAAGCCUCCCCCACCCCAUAACCCUCCCUCUGUCACUUUGUCACGUGUCUGAGCCCUUGUUUCUUCCUUUUUUUUUUUUGAAAUGAAGUCUUGUUCUGUCGCCAGGCUGGAGUGCAAUGGCGUGAUCUCGGCUCACUGCAAUCUCUGCCUCUUGGGUUCAAGCGAUUCUCCUGCCUCAGCCUCCCGAGUUGCUGGGAUUACAGGCACAUACCACCACACCCAGCUAAUUUUUGUAUUUUUAAUAGAGACGGGGUUUCACCAUGUUGGCCAGGGUGGUCUCCAUCUCCUGACCUCAUGAUCUGCCAGCCUUAGCCUCCCAAAGUGCUGGGAUUACAGGCGUGAGCCACCGCGCCAGGCCUGUUUCUUCCUUUUAUAGCUCUUCCCACACUUGGAAUUCUUUUCUGCCUCUGGACCUGAUUUUGUUGGGCUCUUGCCCAGCUGAGUUCCGUGAGGUUCGGGGCUUGUCUGUAUCUUGUCUGCCACAUCAUAGGUGCUCAGUGCACACCUGUUGAGUGGAUGCACCAUAGAUAUAUUGAUAACAGCUGUGAGCGGUUGGGAGCGAGUGAGCAGAGCAGGGCUGCUCAGGGUGUCUCCAGCCCUAGUGGCUUUCUCUCUGUUCCAGUUCCAGGAGAAAGUCUCUGGAAAGGAAGCCCGAAGUCGGGUCUGGCUGGGAAGAGGUGGGGGCUGGGGCGGGUGCCGGGUGCUGGGGCUGGGAGGAAGUCUGCAGCCAGGCUGCUGAGGGUGUGGCGUCUGUGUGUGCACCUUUGGAAUGUGGCUGAUUCACUCUGAGGGGAGCCAUAUGCUGCCGCCACCGCCUCGGAUCUGACAUCUGGAGGCUGAAUUCCAGGAGGAGAGAGACAGAUUCCUGCAAGCAGAUGCCAACUUUGAAGGUCAAAGGGAGCAAUGGAACUGCUUUGAGGGGGGUGAGAGGGUCCAACACUCCCUCCAGGGGCUGGGAGGGAGGUGAGGCCCCCUCCCCAGACUUGCCUGAGCCCCUGAUCUAUCAGAGCCUCUAUGCGGACAGCUGGGGCGCAAGGAAGAGAGCAUGAGCUUCAGCGUUCAGACCUGGAUUCAAAGACCAGUUUCUGGGCCAGGCACAACGGCUCAUGCCUGUAAUCCCAGCACUUUUGGAAGCUGAGGUGGGAGGAUCACUUGAACCUAGAAGUUUGAGACCAGCCUGGGCAACAUAGUGAGACCCCAUCUCUACAAAAAAAUAGAAAAAUUAGCCAGGUGUGGUGGUGCGGGCCUGUAGUCCCAGCUACUCCUGAGGCAGGAUUGCUUGAGCCCAGGAGGUGGAGGCUAUAGUGAGCCAAGAUUGCACCACUGCACUCCAGCCUGGGUGACAGAGCAAGACCCCCCCAUCUCAAAAACAAAUUAAAAAAUAAAUAAAUAAGUAAAUAAAUGAAAUAAAGACCAGUUCCUUGACAGCUCGUGUAACUGCAGAGGCCGAGGGUCUAGCUGGGUCCAGUGCUCACAGGAACACUGGCUUGCAUCUCCCAGCCAGGUUUCCUCCGUUUUCGCUUUGCUCUUGGGCCAGCGCUUCCUGAGAGGAGGCCCUGAUGUCACAGACCUGUGAACCUCCAGCUUGUGUCUACCACGGGUUCCAGCAGAAUCCUAGGUUUGCCUCUCUUUGGCUGGAGCUGGGUCCCAACCCAGCCCUGUAGCGAUCACCGUACUCCUGAUGGGACAGGCCUGGGUCAGGAGCCUGCCCAGCACAGGGCAAUACCCCUGUAGCCCCAUGGAGCAAAUGGAAAUGAGGGGGGCUGUCCCUUAAAAGAACCACACCGGCCAGGCGUGGUGGCUCACGCCUGGAAUCCCAGCACUUUGGGAGGCUGAG
rnacentral:lncRNA from 1 species